rnacentral:lncRNA from 1 species
UUGACAUCUCCAUAUCCAUGACUUGUGAAACAUAGUCAUCAACUAAUACAUGUACUAGUCUAAUAUUCAUGUGUGUCCUCACAUGAACUCCGACUAGGGACAACUUUAGAAUAAUCAUACAAGUAAAGAGUUUCACAUACAAUUCACAUAACUACAAAUCAAUUCAAGUAGCCUUUAAUGGAACAUCAUUAUCUCUAUGAUUGCUUCUAGGGCAUACCUCCAAC